UGGCUUCUCACUGUCAGACCGGCCUUCCCUGUGCCUUCCAGCGCUCGAGAGAUCCCUUCCAGUUGGUAGACUUGUUUUCUUCUCUAACCCCCGGAUUUUGGGUGCCUCUCAGAAGAAACAGGAGAAGGUCCUUUCAGCUCAGUGCAGGGAGGCCCUGCACCUAAAAUGGCUGCCAUUAAGCAGGGCUGGCGCCAAUCGCCCCAGUGUGUCAGGAUCAGGGCUGGAAACCAGAUCCAGAUAUAAUUUAAGGAGCUGGAUGCAAAUUUCCUUGUAUUAUUCAGAAACUGGUGAAGGGAUUGGGAUCCUUCUUCUACAUGACAGGAAGAAGUAUGUGACCUUCUUGAGGUAUGUUUAGUAUUUCUUCGUUUUCUUCAACAAGCAAAUGAAAAUCUCAUGGAAGCAUUUCGCUUUUCAAGUAAUGUAUAGACGCUUGCAGCUCAUGCUGUGCUGUAGAGGGACUCUGCUGGAAGUACUGAAACACCAGUAAACCACUAACUCUAACUGUUCUUGACAUAUUUUACUUAAAAAUUCUGAAUUUAAUAGAAUAUUUUGGUGAGGGAUUGCUGAACAAUUGUUGAAGAACUGGAACACACAUGUUGUAAAAGCUCCUGAGAUCCCUCUUUGGAAAACCUUAAUUGUAUCUGUCUGGAAACUAGCCUGAAAUCUCCUCUCUCCUAUGGAGCCUAUAGAGAGAGGAUUGUGCCUCUGCCCUUCAGAGCACCUUUCUAUAGUGAUUUGGAAUGAAUCUCAUGUGGCAGAUGGUGGUAUUAUCAAUUGGAGGAUAAAAUGCUACAGUCACAGAGAGCAGUGUCAGCACAAUUCCAUGGGCCGUUGGUUUAGUGAAUUCAGCCCAGUACUGUGGUGAGUUUAGGACCAUAAACUUUCCCUUGAUAUGGAGUAUUGCUUUAUUGAUUAAGCAUUAUCUAAGCUACUUUAAACACAAGUGCUAGUUGUUACUGUCCCUUGUCUUGGUUUUUAUUAAUAUUAUUUUGUUGCUGUUAGUAGAGCUGAUGUAAGGCCUGCUUCUACAGAGUUCAGGGAUUGAUAACUCUCCCAUACCAGUUGCUAUGUAAGGCUUAGCUCUGCAAUUAAGCUGCACCAAGGUAACAAGUUGUCCUGUAGCUGUUGACUUGGUCAACAUCAAGCCUGGCCAAUAUAUGUUGUUGAAAUUCAAUUGUAUUAUUGUCUGUACUACAGGCUAAGACCAGAUACUACUGACUGUCACCAUGGCUCAGCUGAAGAGUAGAAAGUAACGUAGUUGAUGUAGUUUGAUCAUGUAUCUGAGUAACGGCAGCAAAGUACAAACUUAGUGAGGGACAUCCUCAUUUCCCUGAUUCUCAACAGUUUUUAAUGUUUCUGUCUAAGUCUAGAGGACUGCUUUUGCUAAAGUUUUGGGGUUUUUUUUAAAUCUUUUGAGCAAAUAUUUUAGUUACUGGUGUUGAUUUAUUGUGGAAUAACAUUUAUGGUGCUCCUUAAAUGCUGAGUAAAGCUAGUCACUGAAGUCAGGGAGGAAGAUCUUAAGACCUGUGGAAUAAAGUUGUAAUUCCUUCAGGUGAAUGGAGAUAACCAGGAAAACAUACCUGCUGUUAUUAAUCCCAACCAAAUGGGGCACUGUCUCCUGCAGUAUGCUACAAAGCCACAGUUGUUUCAUACAGUGGAAGUUAAGACUGAAUCAGACACUGCAGUUCUGGUUAGAAAUUGAAACACUGAAGGCUGUAAUUACAAAACUCAGUAAUACUUAUAAUUAGUUAAUAUGAGCAGACUCCAGAGUAAUGGUACAAGGACUGCAGAAACGAGUGAAUGUGGUGACAGCAAGUUUUUGCAAGGAAAGGCAGCUACACCAACCCCCUGCAGAACAGGGUGUUAAAUAAGAAUCCAUAAAAUCAUUUUAUGAAUAUUUGGCCUUAAUGCAGUUAGAGGAUGUCAUUUAUUUUCACUGUUUCAAGCAAGGCUAAUGCUUAGUAAAAUGAGCUAAAAGCACUGCUCAUAGAUAAG